rnacentral:rRNA from 1 species
GAUGAACGCUGGCGCGUGCUUAACACAUGCAAGUCGAACGAAGCACCUACCAAGGAUUUCCUCGGAAUGACUAAUAGGUGACUGAGUGGCGGACGGGUGAGUAACGCGUGGGUAACCUACCUCAUACAGGGGGAUAACAGUUAGAAAUGACUGCUAAUACCGCAUAAGCGCACAAUACUGCAUGGUAUAGUGUGAAAAACUCCGGUGGUAUGAGAUGAGCUCGCGUCUGAUUAGCUAGUUGGUGGGGUAACGGCCUACCAAGGCGACGAUCAGUAGCCGGACUGAGAGGUUGAACGGCCACAUUGGGACUGAGACACGGCCCAGACUCCUACGGGAGGCAGCAGUGGGGAAUAUUGCGCAAUGGGAGGAACCCUGACGCAGCAACGCCGCGUGAAGGAAGAAGGCCUUCGGGUUGUAAACUUUUGUCUUUAGGGAAGAUAGUGACGGUACCUAAGGAGGAAGCCACGGCUAACUACGUG